AGAGUUUGAUCAUGGCUCAGGACGAACGCUGGCGGCGUGCCUAAUACAUGCAAGUUGAGCGGCAGCGGAAAGUAGCUUGCUACUUUGCCGGCGAGCGGCGGACGGGUGAGUAAUGUCUGGGAAACUGCCUGAUGGAGGGGGAUAACUACUGGAAACGGUAGCUAAUACCGCAUAAUGUCUCCGGACCAAAGCGGGGGACCUUCGGGCCUCGCACCAUCAGAUGAACCCAUAUGGGAUUAGCUAGUAGGUAAGGUAACGGCUUACCUAGGCGACGAUCCCUAGCUGGUCUGAGAGGAUGACCAGCCACACUGGAACUGAGACACGGUCCAGACUCCUACGGGAGGCAGCAGUGGGGAAUAUUGCACAAUGGGCGCAAGCCUGAUGCAGCCAUGCCGCGUGUAUGAAGAAGGCCUUAGGGUUGUAAAGUACUUUCGGUGAUGAGGAAGGUACUUGGUCUAAUAGGCCAAGUAAUUGACGUUAAUUACAGAAGAAGCACCGGCUAACUCCGUGCCAGCCGCCGCGGUAAUUC
rnacentral:rRNA from 1 species